rnacentral:rRNA from 1 species
AAAAAAUCGUAACAAGGUCUCCGUAGGUGAACCUGCGGAGGGAUCAUUACACAAAUAUGAAGGCGGGCUGGAACCUCUCGGGGUUACAGCCUUGCUGAAUUAUUCACCCUUGUCUUUUGCGUACUUCUUGUUUCCUUGGUGGGUUCGCCCACCACUAGGACAAACAUAAACCUUUUGUAAUUGCAAUCAGCGUCAGUAACAAAUUAAUAAUUACAACUUUCAACAACGGAUCUCUUGGUUCUGGCAUCGAUGAAGAACGCAGCGAAAUGCGAUAAGUAGUGUGAAUUGCAGAAUUCAGUGAAUCAUCGAAUCUUUGAACGCACAUUGCGCCCUUUGGUAUUCCAAAGGGCAUGCCUGUUCGAGCGUCAUUUGUACCCUCAAGCUUUGCUUGGUGUUGGGCGUCUUGUCUCUAGCUUUGCUGGAGACUCGCCUUAAAGUAAUUGGCAGCCGGCCUACUGGUUUCGGAGCGCAGCACAAGUCGCACUCUCUAUCAGCAAAGGUCUAGCAUCCAUUAAGCCUUUUUUUCAACUUUUGACCUCGGAUCAGGUAGGGAUACCCGCUGAACUUAAGCAUAUCAAUAAGCGGAGGAAAAGAAACCAACAGGGAUUGCCCUAGUAACGGCGAGUGAAGCGGCAACAGCUCAAAUUUGAAAUCUGGCUCUUUUAGAGUCCGAGUUGUAAUUUGCAGAGGGCGCUUUGGCUUUGGCAGCGGUCCAAGUUCCUUGGAACAG